rnacentral:sRNA from 2 species
CACUAGCUGAAUAGACGGCAUAGGCGGCGGGGCAAGCGGGAUACCCGCUCCCACAGUGUGGAAGAUUUCUGCGCAAACGAACCUUUCAUGGCUUUGUCCCUGCCGUUAAAAAGUUUUAGCAACUGUUUCCCACUCUAGAUCUUAGGAAAGUUGACAAUAUUGAAUAGUUAAGCGACAAGGUUAUAUUUCCAUAUCUACAUCAUCAUCAUCAUGUAUGUACACACACUUGGAAAUCAAAUCAUAUUGAACUAGUUAUUCAAUUUCACAGAAAACAAAAGGCGAUAAUUUUUUUUUUUUUGAGGCUUUGAAUUAUUCUAAGGCUCCCACUGUGUUAAUUGACUAUGUAUGACUGUGAGGGUUUCUACGGAUUUCUUAAUUAUAUCAUCAUCGAUUUAACAAUCAAUAUGUAUAUAUUGACGUAUCUUGUCC